CACAUAUUAGGGCAGACAUGAAAGCAAAAGUACAAGGUGAGGCUAACAGUGGGGAAGCAGAAAGAUCACUUUUCAUUCAUGUAGGGGAGCUCAGAGAGAAGAGAAAGUAGAAAUAAGAGGUAAUAGCUCAAAGCCUGGCACCAGUUACAGUCUUCCCCAGAACAGCCACACCUCCUAAGUGUUUCAUAACAUUCCCAAACAGUACCACCUACUGGGAACCAAGUGUUCAUACUCAUGAGCCUAUGGGGAACAUGUCUUAUUCAAACCACCAGGGUGGGUGGACAGAAACACAGAAAAUCCUCUAGAAACAGGUACCUCUUGAUAGGUCUUCAGGAUGCUCAUUUUAAUCUAGUCUUACUAGAUAAAGAUUACCCAAAGCGUGGGAGCUCAGUUUGUUACCACAUAGUUUACCCAACUCACCAAUCACCCCUUGUUAGAAUGCCAAUCUUCCGAAUACAGCCAGACCAAUCAUUUAAAGAAAUUGCUUCAGAAAGGGACAGGCACAAGGAAAGGUCAGCAAAACCUCCCAGAGUUAAAAAUAGAGAUCAGGAAACAAAGGACACAGUACAACUUUUACAACCAAGAAUUAAAUGCAAAAAAAAAAAAAA
rnacentral:lncRNA from 1 species